AGGUGGUGCCUGUCGCAUGCUUUAGGGAAAUCUCAGAUGUUUCAUAGUCAAACCCAGACGGGGCCCACCAGGCCCACAGCUGCCACCAUCAUGAGAAACCAGAGCUAAGUACUCAGACCCACAUGAACCACUGUGUGCCUGGAGGGGCCAGAGGUGGGCACAGAGGACAAGGACUCUUCAACGUAUUCUCUAGAAAACUAGCAGCCGGCUUUCUGAUCUCUGGGGAAGGAAGCAGCCAUCUGGGAUUUUGUCCGUGGGCACAGUAGCAGAGAAGAGGAGCCAGCCAGGGCUCCACCCACGAUCCUCAGCACCGCUAGAAAGGAACGAACUUCAGAAAAUACACAGCACCCCUAUUCACAGAAAGUGCCAGAAUCUACCGGACCCCGAACACUGUCCUUUUGAGAAGGCAUGACUCAAUCUUAAGAAGCAAGAUCUGAUACUUAACAAUCUUCCAUGUUCCACAAGUCCUGUUGGUGUCAACAAAGGUUUUCCCCUCAGCUGCUGGAAGGAAGAAGAAAUGGAAACGAUCUGUCAGGUAUCACUGAUGCCUAAAAGUCUACAGGU